GCUGCCGGUUGAAUAGCGUUGGCAGUGACUUUUGUUCAUUCAUCGGGUGAAGUACGUAAUAAAAUAUUUGUAUAGAAUACUUGUUGAAAAUAAUAAUAAAUAUUAUUUUUUGGACAUUUAAAAUAAGGAUAAUAUUUUGUGAGGCUGCCACAGGAUUGAAUAAAUUAUAUUGAAGGAUAUCUUACAAAAAGCCACAUCAUGGAUAUGAAUUUUAUGAACGAGGCAACUGAAUAUUUACCAGCCACUAUACCAGACGUCAAACAUUUUGAGUUGAAAGUGUUGGAGGAGAAGUUGGAAAAAUUAUAUGUCGGACUUGAUACAAUGAAAGCGCAUUUAUUCACAUAUCAAAAUGUACGGCAAUGCACCAUAGAGGAGACCAGAAACAUAUUAAACCCAGACUUGGCUAAUCUUAUUGAUGAAUACGAAAGCAUUCAGUAUAAAUUGUUGGAUAUAUUAAAACUUUGGCAACGGAAACAAGCCUUGGCAAUUCUAAGUGAACCUUUACCCUGUCAUUUGGAUGAGAUACAAUAUAUUGUUGAGAUAUUGAUGGAUCGAAUAGAAGAUAUUAAAUUAUUUAUUGCUACUUUAUUAAGUUUUGAAUAUGAGCCGAAACUUGAAAACCAUUCGCAGCGCGUCCAACGCUUACAACACGUUCUUAUAGUUUCAUCAUUCAUCGUAGAGGAGCAGCCACCACAAGUUAAGAAGAAAUUGACGAAAUUUUCGGCGAAAAUACGUUGGUUAAUUGCAAAUAAAUUGAAUAUAUACUCGAGCAAGCCGAAAGUGGUGUGUGCAGUACUUUCGGAGGCUCAGGUUAAAGAGAUUGAUCUAGAAAGUUUGCAAAUCCCUGUCAUACAUCAAGGCAGCAUGUCGGGUAAUGAGUGUGAAAUGAACUACGACAACGAUAGUCGUCGCUUUUCAGCAGAGUUUGCAAAUCUUACAAUUACAAAUAUCGAUCGUUCGGAAAGGAGAGGCAGUGAAAGCGUUAAAGAUGAGAAAUGCGCUUUACUAUUCUAUACUACAGUUAAUGUGGGAUACCCAAUUAAGUGCGGCGCUCUUACGCUGCCAAUGGUGGUCACUGUGCACGAUAUGCAAGCGCCACAAGCGUGGGCCACAAUAACUUGGGAUAAUGCUUUCUCAUCGAUAAAGCGUGUACCGUUUAAAGUGCCAGAUAGAGUACAUAUUUCAGGAAUAUUGGAGAUGUUAAGCAUGAAUUUUGCCCAUACAACGGGUCGUCCUUUAUCCUAUGAAAACAUGGAAUUUCUUCGAAAGAAACUGCUAGGCACUGAUAACGGUCUGGUUGAUGAAUAUGUAAGUUACGCUCAAAUUGCCCGCGAUAAGAUACCACCAGAGCACAAAUUUACAUUUUGGGAAUGGUUUUAUGGUGUAAAGAAAUUAACAAGAGAAUACUUCAAAGAAACAUGGAUGAGUGGGCACGUGGUUGGAUUUAUAAGUAAAAAUGAAGCUAAGCGUAUACUAUCGCUUGAAGAAAAUGGUACAUUCUUGAUUCGCUUCUCGGAUAGCGUAAUAGGUGGAAUAACAGUUGCCUAUCGAGAUUUCUAUGGUCAACUAAAAAUCAUAUCACCAUGGAAAUGGCAGGAUCUUCAAACACGCUCCUUAUCCGAUCGUAUUAGGGAUGUGGACAUCCUGAGUGUCGUAUAUCCAACAAGGACACCAAGUGUUUUAGCAUUUUGUCGUUCAACACAUGCAAAUCGUGUAACCACUCGUGACGGUUACGACGGAACGAUGGAACUUCGGGUGCAAAUUACUUCACAGCCUGCGAACAAUUUCGGCCAACAAAUGUAACUAAAUAAAAUGUGUAUAUUUCAAGUAUAUGUAUUAAACUUUACUACAAAAGCCAGCAACAAAUUUCACAAACAGCCAACAGCGAACAUUCAUUAUCCUCUCCUAAUAACAACGAUU
rnacentral:misc_RNA from 1 species